AUGGGAGAUUUUAGGACUUAGGAGGUUGUGUGAACUACAAACUUCGGGUCAUUAUCAACACAUUAACCCAUUUCACUUUUGGUUAAAUUUUUUUAUUUGUCCUGUUUGAGGAUAAACACAACCCAAAUCGAUCCAGAUCAAAAUUUCCGCCACUAAUCUCAUGAUUAAUGAUGUGUCAUGAGGAUACCUGGAUUAUCUUCAGCUUUAUUGCUCAAAAUUCCGGUAAACGCCAACUGUUUCUCAAAAAAUUUUGAUGAUCCACGCCUGGUUGUUUUCCGGUAAACACAAGAUCUAACAGUGUUACACCAUCCUCCACCCUUCAAUAUGAUAUUUUAAUUAAAUUAAUCCGGCCAAUAAUACAGUAAUAUAAACUAUGAAAUUAAUUGUCACAUGAUGGUUAACAUCAAGAAUUAAAGAUACUUAAAUGUUGGAAGUAAGUGUAACAAAUAAUUCGACAUUGAUGUCCUUAUCGAUUUAGCUGUCACAAACCUCCAAUUGAAUGAGCCAACUGUUUGCGCCCGAUUCGAAUCCUCGGUGCAAAUGAUACCCGGGUAAUGUUCCAUCCAAACAUACUGUGAAAAGAGAAACAACAAAAUGUAACAACUUUAAAAUAUAUUCCUUUUGCUUGUUAAUAAAUAGAAUACCUUCCAAAUGACUAGAUAUU
rnacentral:lncRNA from 1 species